CCUAUGGGUAAAGACCACGCCCCCACAGGUAAACCUACAGGUAAACCCCACACCCCUACAGGUAAAGACCACGCCCCCACUGGUAAACCUACAGGUAAAGACCAGGCCCCUACAGGUAAAAAUGCCCCUACAGUUAAAGACCACGCCCCUACAGUUAAACACGCGCAUACAGGUGAACACCACGUCCCUACAGGUAAAGACCGCGCCCCUACAGAUAAGCAUGUUAUCCCUACAGAUAGACAUGUUAUCCCUACAGGUAAACAUGUUA
ensembl:lncRNA